CCUAAUUCCUAGCGCCGCCGCCACUCUUUUCCCUUCUCCCUCGGGAUCCAUCCAACCCACCUCUUUUUAUGUACGCAACCAACCAGCGCCGCUCAUCAGUCCCCUCGCGCCCGAGACCUCAUCGCGCUGACGACCAUGGCCAGGCCAUCGCCCUCACCUGCGCCCUUCUUCUUUUUCCUACCUUCUCCUCCCUCCUUUGCUCUAAUCCCCCCCCCCUCUCUCUCCUUCUCUUGCUUCCACAGGAACCCAAAGGAGCUCUGCCCCGACGCCAUGGACAGGAGUCGCCGUUCUCUAGUUCCGACCACGUGCGAGCUUUCCAAGCCCCAAGCCGCGUCGGAUCUGGAGGGGAUCACCGCUGUCGCGCCUUUUUCCCGACCCCCACGACCUUCUCCGGCCUUCGAUAGCCCGCCGUCGCCGCUCCUCUGCUUCCGCUGCGUCGAACAGCAGCAGUCCAGACAGAGGACGCCGCCUCUGCCUCGACCACGCCUGGAACUCCCCUCCGUCGGUCACUGGCGCCUGCCGCGUUGUUCUUCUUCGCCCCGGCCCCUUCUACUUCGACCACGCGAGGACGAACAUGCGCCGCUCCCGUUGACCGUGACGCACAGGCUCAGCGCCCGCCUGGUUCGAUCGGCCUAGGAGGCCCAGCCCCGCUGUCCCUAGCCGGUUGCUCUGAAGAUGGGCCAAGGCCCAUGGGUGAGGCCACCCAGCGCCCCACCUUUUUUUCCUUCUUGCUGUUGGGCUUGUCCCAGAUUCGGCCCGCUUCUACAUUUUUCCCAGUUUCUGCGAAUUUAUCUUUUAUUCCAGUAAAACAGUUUUGCAGAAACACCCUUGAACUUCAUGCAUAUUUUAACUCACAAACUAAGCAUCACAUGUAAAAACUUAAUAUAUGAAAAAUGCUUAGAAUUUUGUCUAGUUUAAUAAUAUGCAACUUUCAUCUAUGUUUGUAAUGGUUAAAAUGAUGUUUGCUUAAAUUUGUUUAAAUAACUUGCUAAAAUGACUUAAUUCAUAACUAAAUAACCGUAGCUCGGUUUCUAACAAACUUUAUAUGCAUUUGGGGUAGAAAAAUGCCUAGUUUAACUUGGUGCACUUGUUUUGCAUGUUUAAUAACACUAAAAUUAUGUUUAGGGCAGAACAGUACCAAACCUAAAAUAUGCAUAUGGGGAUUUACCGGAAAUGUUGUUCGUUGCUUCCGGCCUCAUUUAAACUUGACUAGAUAGGUAGUUUUACUUUGCUUCACCCGCUUGCCAUGUUUAACAACAUUUAAUAUUGUUGGGUACAUAAACAAGAUCGAACUAAAUAAGUCACGCGGUGUUCCGUCAAUAUGCCACUCGUUGCAUAUUGAGCUCCACUUAACUUGUAGUGUUGUUUGUGCACUUUGCCAUGCCAUGCUUCAUUAAACCGGACAUGCACCAUAUUUGUUUGUACAUCAUGCCAUGUUGAUGUGUUGGUUGUUUACUAUGUUGUUUGCCUUCUUUCCGGUGUACUUCGUCUCGGUAAUACGGUAAUGUUGUGUUGUGAGGAUUCGUUCGACAACGUCAGUUUGUCUUCUUCAUGGACUCGUUCUUCUUCCUUGCGGGAUCUCAGCUUGCAGGUGCCGAUGAGACCGUGCAGAUGACGCAACCAAGCUCAGAGGAGCUCGAUGAAGCUCUUGUCCUUUGUGUUGUUUCGUUCUAGUUGAUCAGUAGUGGAGCCCAGUUGGGGUCGAUCAGGGACCGUGUCGCAUUUGGGGUUCUUCUUUUAUUUUGGUUCCGUAGUCGGACCUUGAUUGUAUUUGGAUGUUAUAAUGCUUUAUUCAUGUAUUGUGCGAAGUGGCGAUUGUAAGCCAACUAGGUAUCUCUUUCCCUUAUGUAUUACAUGGGUUGUGUGAAGAUUACCUCACUUGCGACUUUGCUUUCAAUGCGGUUAUGCCUCUAAGUCGUGCUUCGACACGUGGGAGAUAUAGCCGCAUCGAGGGCGUUACAAGUUGGUAAUCAGAGCCUUCCCCGACCUUAGGAGCCCCCCUGCUUGAUCGAAUUAGCUGCCGUUGUUGAGUCUAGAAAAAUGUUUUGAGUCAUUUAGGAAUUAUAUAUCGGAGAGUUUAGGAAUUCUUUUUACUCCUGAGUCCCUUCGUCGCUCUGGUGAGGCAUCCUGACAUAGAGUUUUGACUCUUCUCUUCUAAAAUUUCACUAAAUUUUUUUUUAGGAUCGCGCGGGUAUCUUGGAAUCGUUUCGAUGGAUUUGUGAUGAGAACAUUGUUCUUGGUGCCUCCUGUCAUUUAGGGGUUGUGGCAGUGUCCCGGGGACUUGAGCUCCGAGGUGUUAUCAUCACAAUUUUAUUGUUGCAGUUCUGGAAUACCUGAGUUUAGUUUCGCCGACAUCGAAAAUCUCUUUUCUGCAGUUGUUGGUGACAUAACCUCGACGCCACACAGUACUGGGGCGGGAGUUUGGGAGUAUUGCCAUAACUUGUAUAACGGAUGCUUUUCGAAGGUUGAGGUAGAUGAUUUCCGAAGGUUUCCUGGUUAUGUGUUGAAGGAUGGAUACAGCUGGAUGUAGAAUUUGCUAGUUUUGGGUGAGAUAUUAUGCUUCCCCUGUAUCCCCAACACCUGAUUGCAUAACUGGAAAGUUUCGGGAGUUUAUAAGUGGGAAUUCAAGUAGCUCUUAGGAUAUCUUUCUGACGGAUGUUUGAUGUGAAAUUGGGGUUCGACGUCUAGUGGUUCGCCUAUUCACGGUUGGUUUUAUAGUGGUCUCGUUGUGUCUUAAAGAGUCCUUGGCUAUGCCGACUCGGGG
rnacentral:rRNA from 1 species